rnacentral:rRNA from 1 species
GACGAACGCUGGCGGCGUGCUUAACACAUGCAAGUCGAACGGAAAGGCCCUGCUUGCAGGGUACUCGAGUGGCGAACGGGCGAGUAACACGUGGGUGAUCUGCCCUGCACUUCGGGAUAAGCCUGGGAAACUGGGUCUAAUACCGGAUAGGGGCCAUUUUUAGUGUGAUGGUUGGAAAGUUUUUUCGGUGUAGGAUGAGCUCGCGGCCUAUCAGCUUGUUGGUGGGGUAAUGGCCUACCAAGGCGGCGACGGGUAGCCGGCCUGAGAGGGUGGACGGCCACAUUGGGACUGAGAUACGGCCCAGACUCCUACGGGAGGCAGCAGUGGGGAAUAUUGCACAAUGGGCGCAAGCCUGAUGCAGCGACGCCGCGUGGGGGAUGACGGCCUUCGGGUUGUAAACUCCUUUCGCUAGGGACGAAGCUUUUUGUGACUGUACCUAGAUAAGAAGCACCGGCUAACUACGUG